rnacentral:rRNA from 1 species
AUUGAACGCUGGCGGCAGGCCUAACACAUGCAAGUCGAGCGAGUGGCGGACGGGUGAGUAAUGUAUGGGGAACUGCCCGAUAGAGGGGGAUAACUACUGGAAACGGUGGCUAAUACCGCAUACUAUCGGAUGUACCCAUAUGGGAUUAGCUAGUAGGUGGGGUAAAGGCUCACCUAGGCGACGAUCUCUAGCUGGUCUGAGAGGAUGAUCAGCCACAAUGGGACUGAGACACGGCCCAGACUCCUACGGGAGGCAGCAGUAGGGAAUCUUGGGCAAUGGGCGAAAGCCUGACGGAGCCACGCCGCGUGAAUGAAGAAGGUGUUCGGGUCGUAAAGCACUGUUGUUAGAGAAGCGUUACCUGACCAGGAAGCACCGGCUAACUACGUGCCAGCAGCCGCGGUAAUAC